rfam:Myotis lucifugus cont2.44934, whole genome shotgun sequence.
AUCGGUUUUUGGCCUUUUGCCUAAGAUCAAGCAUCGAUAUCUGUUCUUAUCAGUUUAACAUCUGAUCCAUUCUCUAUCUGAAUGGGUUUUGGGAGGGGGGAGAUGGAAUCGGAGCCUGGUCCAUCCAUGCUGUGCAUCCACCUGGCCAGGAAUGGUGCAACCCCU